UACGAAGGGGGCUAGCGUUGUUCGGAAUUACUGGGCGUAAAGGGCGCGUAGGCGGCCUUCUAAGUCAGACGUGAAAUCCCUCGGCUCAACCGAGGAACUGCGUCUGAUACUGGAAGGCUUGAAUCCGGGAGAGGGAUGUGGAAUUCCAGGUGUAGCGGUGAAAUGCGUAGAUAUCUGGAGGAACACCGGUGGCGAAGGCGGCAUCCUGGACCAACACUGACGCUGAGUGAGCGAAAAGCCAGGGGAGCAAACGGG
rnacentral:rRNA from 1 species